AUUGAACGCUGGCGGCAGGCCUAACACAUGCAAGUCGAGCGGAUGAAGGGAGCUUGCUCCUGGAUUCAGCGGCGGACGGGUGAGUAAUGCCUAGGAAUCUGCCUGGUAGUGGGGGAUAACGUCCGGAAACGGGCGCUAAUACCGCAUACGUCCUGAGGGAGAAAGUGGGGGAUCUUCGGACCUCACGCUCUCAGAUGAGCCUAGGUCGGAUUAGCUAGUUGGUGGGGUAAAGGCCUACCAAGGCGACGAUCCGUAACUGGUCUGAGAGGAUGAUCAGUCACACUGGAACUGAGACACGGUCCAGACGCCUACGGGAGGCAGCAGUGGGGAAUAUUGGACAAUGGGCGAAAGCCUGAGCCAGCCAUGCCGCGUGUGUGAAGAAGGUCUUCGGAUUGUAAAGCACUUUAAGUUGGGAGGAGGAGCAGUAAGUUAAUACCUUGCUGUAUUGACGUUACCAACAGAAUAAGCACCGGCUAACUUCGUG
rnacentral:rRNA from 1 species